AGCUGGGAUGGAGCGAGCCGUGGCCCGCUGGCCGUGGCUGCAGCUCCUCCGGAGAGCCGGGGCGCCCACGCGAGAACCUCCCUACCUGGGUCUCUCCUCAUGGACGACAUCAUCCGUUUGCCUCCUUGUCUUCAAAGACCACCUCUGGAUGCCAAGCUGAUGCCAAGGUGCUUGCUGCUCAUCUCCGUCUUAUGAGGAUGCUAAGAGGAUGGAUUCCUGGAUCCCACCAACAUACAAAGCAGCCACGGGCAGUGACCCCCAGGACCAGGACAACAAAGAAUGAAGAGGACCAGGACUGAUCACCCAGCUGUCCCUCUUGGCUAAAGGCUUAAACCAAUGCCCUAGUGAGGGGGCAUUGGGCAUUAACCCCUGACCUUUGCUAUGUUUCUGCCUUGAUGCUCUGAAUACUUUCCUAUGAGUCUCUGCUUGUAUUAACCUGCCAGCGACCUGGAGGGUUUCCAUCCCCAGGGAGGUGUCAGUCCUCUAAAUCCACCCUGUUGUUACCCAUAUGAUGUCCUGAAUGGAGGGGUCCCUUUGGGAACUUCUCAGGAGGGGGACCUGGGCCAAGGGCUCAACCAGCAUCUCACUGGCAAUUCCAAGGCCCAGGUGGGCUUCUGGAAGGAGCAUGAGCCCCGACGCCAUGCUACUGAACUGCCAAGGGCAUCCCCACCUCCUUUGAGAUCUCCCUGUCCUUUCUGGGGGACGGGGACCAGAAGAGCAACCUCCCAGGGUGUUGUGAGUAUUAAAUGAGAGAAAGCAGCCUCGGGCAGGGCCGGGCAUAGAGGAGGCCAUCAGCAAAUGUUUGUUGAAAAAGUUUGGUCGGUCCAUCCAUCCCGCACCCCCUCACUUGUCUUAUGCCUCUUGUCUAUUCUCCCACAGCACCCUGGACAGCCUCCGUCCACGGGGCUCUCCUUGCACCAGGGCGCUUUUGAAGACCAAAUGAUGCAACUACUAUGAAAGUGCUUUGUAAAUUGCUGUGGAAAUUGUGAGGUACUUAACACUGGGAGGCUGUCCCUCAUUGUCACAUGCCCAGCCCUGUCCCCCCUCCGUAAGAACAGUUAGCACCCACUAGGUGCUGUGAGUGUUUGCGCUCAGUAAAUAAAUUCCAGAAGAAAUAAAAACAGAAUUAAUUCAACAAACAUUUUCUGGAACACCUACAAUAUGCCCCGCACACCAGGCCUAGUCUGUGAUACAAAGAUGAUGAAAACAGUCUCUUGGAAGCUAAUUGGGGUCCUCGUUUGACCGGCACUUUCUUUCGUCCCCUUUUAAGCCAACCAGUUUUGUCCGGAUGAGACAAAAACAACCCAGGGCCGCUUUAGAGAAGCUGGGCUUGGUGUAGACAAUAGCUCCUGGGCUUCUGAAAGGGGCUGAUUGGAUUAUGUGGCAAAUGAAGGUGGAAGGAUGACUUGGAAGGUGACAAAUGAAGUGGGCGGAGAGCUGCUGUGAGUUAAUCCAGGCUAUUAGGAGGGACCUUUUGUCUUCCAGAGGCUGGCAGGAGCUUUUACCAGUGGGUUUUACAUCCUUAAUGUAAAGACACAUAAUUUAUGGUCAGUGAAAACCCAGGCCCCAGUGAGAUUUGAGUGGGCUGCAAAAUUGAGCGUCCUGCUACCAGGGAGUAAUUAUAGUGAACAUUUAUGUCUCCCUUUGCCAUUUGCAAAGGCCUUUUUUGCAACCGUCAAUUCAUUUGAACCUCACAACUCCCUGUCCCGCCCCGGGGCUGGCCUGCGCCUCCUAGGGGAACAGAGGCCAUCAAGCGGCCUUCGGGUGAGGGCCCCAGGCCUCUGACAUAGUCAGGGGAGAGGAGUCCCCCGCCCUGGCCCCUCCUUCUGAACUCCGCUCUCCCCACGGCUGUGAGCCUCUGGGUCCCUCCUGUCCUCCUUUCUGGCCACUACAGUCCCUCUCUUUCCUUUCACAGCCAAGCUUCUCGAAAGGCCUGUCUCCACUUGCUGUCUUCCUUCCUCACCUCCAAUUUCCUCUCCAACCCACUGCUUCCUGACUUCUUCCACUCCGUCGAACGACUCUCACUAAGGGUCUGCCCGUCCUUGACACACCGGUUGAUGACAGUCACCUGAGCUGGAUGGAAGAGGCAGAAGAUUCUCCCAGACCACCUCCUUCAGGACCUGGCGCCUCAUUCCCAACCUUGUACCUCGAGACACCUUCCUGGUUUGGGCUGAAGACAGCACCUGGAAUCCUCCAUGGGAAGGGACCUCAGACACGCGACCCUAGCAGCCUCCAGCUCGAAAAUCGGCAGACUAGGAUGGAAGUGGCCUAGCUGGGGGGCCCUUCAAAGGGCCAAGGAGAAGAACGCGGGCCGAGGGACCAGCCUCUCAAACGGGCUUCGAGCGCCAGUGACCUUCGCUUACCCCCUUGAAAUGUCUGGAAAACAGAAUGGACAGAUUUUCUGUCUUCAAAGUUUCCGGCUAAACCUCUUCAAGUUCUUUAUUGUUUGGGACUGGGACACUCGGCAGUGGUAAUGGGGUUGUUCCUUUUGUAUUUGCCUUGAAAGGCCAAAAUAUUUUUAUAUUGCUGCAGACAAAGCCGUCUAUUUUAAGAUGAACUCUGUGUCCAUCGUUUCCCACCGGGGAGACUGUGUGCACCGUGUGUGUCUCUGUGUGCUCUCGGGUCUUGAAACAGGUCUCUUAUGGGGAUGGCCAUUCACAGGGGUCCAGGGGAAGCGCCUGCCCCGCCAGGGGGAGCCUGGGGAAUCUGGCCCUCACGGUAGAUCUGUCCCCGCCCCAUCCAUUUAGGUGUGAGUCCUGGGUGGUGGUGGGGGGGUGUGUGCUGGCUGCACUAACACGUACCGUGCCUGUGCCUGCGUCUGCCAUGCGUAUGCGUUAAGGACUGUGGGUUGUGCGCACCUUGGGGGUUCACUUGGUGGGAGGCAGCUGGAUGGUCACAAGUACUGGGAAUGUUCUCUUUUUCUGGUUGGGAGGGCAUUUCCCUGGCAUCUGUUACCUGGCCCAAAUAAGUGAGUGGAUGAAUGAAUGCAUGAAAACAGGAAGGGAUGCGUAACCAAAUAAGAGGCAAAGUAGGUGAGCCAGGGAGAGAGUGGGCCCCGAACGAGAUCCCGUUGGAGGCAGAGGAGACCACUACAAAAGCUAAUAAAACAUUGACUCAGUAAUUCAAAUGUAUAGCACCUAAAGUUUGUCCAUACAAGAAUAAACUCUAGAUGAAAGGAAGAAUGAAUAAGAAGUGAAAAUGCAUCCAAGGGUGAGGGUGAGGUUCGGAGCCCCAUCAAAGCAAAAAGAUGUGAGAGGCAGGAGGAAACAGACGAUUGAAAGGGAGAAGGAAAGUGGAAUGACGCAAAAUGAUAAAUGAAAGGGAGAAAGAGGAUUUUUAAAAUCGGGAUGAGAGGCUAUGUGAGGAGGACCAUGUCCAGCUAUUCGAAGUCAGGCAUUAGGAUGGAUCCAAAUACAUGCUCCCAGCAGAGAAAACGAAACAACAGAGGAAGUUCAAAGAAGAGUAGAAUGAAAAAGGAGGACCCAGGGGACCAAAGAUGAGAGUUAACUGUAACCGAAAGUUGUCGAACUCUGGGCACACAUAAAUAAAUAGAUACCAAAAUGAAAGCCAAAAAAAUAAAAAAUUAAAAAAACUUUAAUUGAAAAGAAAUAUGAGUGAGUAAUGGACAUACCUGGACUCAGGUGGGAGCAUGGCAGGAGGGGUUUUGAGUCAUCUCGUCCUGGGAACUGAGGUCUGUUCCAUGAAAGGAUGAAAAAAAAACAAAGACAAUACAAUAAAAUAUCUAAAUAAAAAAAUCAAUAAAUAUGGAAGUAAAGGCAUCAGUUAAGUUCAGAACUACAUUAAUGGGUGAAUAGAUCAACAUCAAAGAGAAGGCAGUGCUGGGAGCAGGGGUCAUAAAUUGUCAUGUAUCAAGGGUUCUGGUUAGUCUGAUUCUAAAAGCCGCAGUUCUAUCAAAAAAUAGCAAGUCUUUAAAUAAACAAGUAAAGGAGUAUCUAAAGAAACAAAGGUGAAGGAAAAAAGAAACCAAAAGAGAAAAAAGAAAAAGCAAUGAAGAAACAAAGAUGGGAGGGAGUGAGGGGGGAGGAGCGCGGCCUCAGGCAUUCCUGAUGAGCGUGUUGGAGGCUUGUAAUUAAUCCCAUCUGGGCACCGAAGCGCCAGGGGAAUGAAAGAAGACAAGAGAACAAAGUGAGAAAGGAGGAGAUAUGGAAAGCUGCAACGAAAGAGGGAAAGAAAGAGUGAGGAGGUGAUAGUGGCCACGCAUGAAUGGGGAGGUCCUGGAGGGGUGACGAGAGGAAUGGUAAUAAGGACCUGCACAAGCUGUGGGUCAGAAUGGGUCCAGGUCUGAGUAAUCACUCCCAUUGAUGGAGGAGUAAAUACCUCAUAAAAGGGAAGAAAACGGGAAGGGAGAAUGGUGUGGAAGGGUGAAUGCAGGGAGGAAGGCGUUCGUGACAGAGACGUGGAGCUGCAGGUGCCGGGGAGGCGGGGGCAGUGUUUGCAGGUGGCACGCCGACUCAGCUGUCCGUGCCCACCGGGCUCCGAAGCACACGAGAAGUCAAGAAAGGAAGAGGGAGAGAGAAACAAUGAAGAUGGGGCAGAAAUGAAAAAAUAAAAAUUCAAUUAGAAAUUAAAAAUUAGAAGAGGACAAAGGUGAUAUGUUAACAAACAGACAGGUAAAUACAUUUAGAAGAGAGAGCUGUUUUGGGAAUAAGAAUGAGAGGGGGCCUGAAGCAAGUUCACUGAUGAAUUCACAUCUGGGCUUCUGAGAUGGGCCACUGCCCACCCAACCAGGAGGCAGCUCAGAACUGAAACACGUUAAGGGAAGACCUCGGUGGGGCCAGGGAGGUCAGGACCUACUGACUAUAGAUGAUCACGUAUCCAAUUAGGUGCACCUGCCAUCUAGAAUUGUAAAAAUAAUGACUGAAAAGAGUCAGCCUGAAUGAAUGCAUGAAUGCAUGAAUGAAGGAAUGAAUGAGAAAAAAGCUUUGCAGUGACCAGGGAGGUGGCGGUUGCAGAAGGGUUGGAGUUCAUCCAAGCCUGAUCUCCAAGAGGAAGAAAGGCAGUAAAGAAAAAAAAAAAAUUCAAAGACUGGUAGGGAAGAAAAAAAAAAAAAACAGUUAAGAUGGGGGAAAAAUAAAAAUAAAAGAGUAAAAAGAUAAUAAAAGAAGAUAAUAAAUAGGUAGGUCGGACAAUGAAGUCUAUGAGAGGGGACGGGUUUAGCACAGAGCAUCCACAUUAAUUCAAAUCUGGUCCUGAAGUUUAUAAAUAAUAAAAACAAUACGAUAAAUAAAAGCCUAAAGGAAUAAAUGCAUGCAUUCCACGAGAAGGCAAGAAAAGGAGUUUGAAAAAUUGCAGGAAAGACUGGGAGAAAGAAAGAUGUGGGAAAAGAAAUUAAAAUAGACACGUGGAGGAAUUGACACUUCCUGGAUAAGAACUUCAAGAUAAUAAACACAUAUUAUUCAUUAAAUAUAAUAAAUAGUAAAAGCUGAGGUUCAUCAGUAAGAAAACACAAACCUCGAAGGAAAAAAAUGGGGUAAAUAGGGGGAUGGUUGUGUGAACGAAUGAAUGACAAAGAUGAUUUUAAUUAAUUCACGUCUGCACCUGAGGCUCCUGAGAUGAAAAGAAUGCAAAAAAGAGCGAGGAAGGCGGGGACAUCGAAAAUUAUGACAAGAUGGAUAUUAGCAAUAAAAACAUAUUGAAUGAAUAAAUAAAUACAUACAUAAAUCUAUGAGCGAGAGGACCGUGCUAGAACCAAAAAAAAUGAGGAGGUGCCAUGAGCCAGGAAUUAUGACUGGUUCAAAACUGGGCUGCGGAGGUAGUUAAAUAAAUCCUGAAGCAAACCAGCAGUACAAGGAAUUAACGAACAGAAGGGGCCCCACGUGGACAGGGGCUGAGGAGGCUCGGGAACCACAGAUUGUGGUUAAUCCAGUUCUGUGCACCUGAGGUCCAUUAAUAAAAGAAUAAAUACCGAAAUAAAAGAGUGACAGAAAGAAUGAACGGACCCAGGAACGACUGAAUUAGAAAUGGAAAUGCCUGGCGCGGCCAGGAGCUCGUGGCCCAUGGGAUUGUCACUCAUCUCACUCCUGGCACCUGAGGUUCCUCAGAGAGGCAAGAUGCAAGGAAGAGAAGUGUCAGAGUCAAAGAAAGAGAUGAGGAGAGGCAGCGUGAGACUAAGUGGAAGAGAAAGGGCGUGGGGUGGGGGUGGGGCGGGGAGCCAAUGAAAGCACACUCAUGCCGUGGGUGUGUCUGCACUAGCGAGCUCUGAGGAUCAGGGAUGAGGUCAGCACUAAUCCUUGUGAUUGAUGAGCUCAUCCAGCCCCUGCUUCUAGGGCAAGGGAAAGUGGAGAGAACGGGGAAAAAAGGGAGCAGAGGAAAGAUGAUAAACAAACAACCCAAGUGAUCAAUGCUUAGUUGAGAGAGGUUGUCUAAACAGGGAUUAGAAUUAAUUUACAUCCAUACUCCUUAAGUAGGUGAAUAAUACAUCACUCCUUUCCAGGAAUAGAUGAAAAAGAGGAAAUAUCCGGCCCAAAGACAAGACUGCAUCUUCCAGUCUUUUAUUAUCUUUAUAUAAUCAAAUAUAGGCACUUGAGGUCCAUGAAUAAAAGAAUAAACACCAAAAUGUAAAAGGUGACCAAAUGCCCGGAAGAAAGAUUGAAAACGCAAAUAAAUACGUGUGCCAAUGAUGGUUAUUUUGCCCAUGGAGUUUUAACGAAUAAAAUUAUUUCCCAGGGGACGAAUAAUAAGUAAAAAAAACCCCAAAAAACAAAAAACCCAAACUCCUAAUAAGCAAGAACAGAAAGGCCAAUGUGUGCGUGAGUGAAUGAAUGAACGAGAGGUGGAGCUGCGUGGACCAGGGACAGGAUGUCGCAUGUGGGGUCCUGACUCAUCCUUCUGUGCACCUGAGUUUAUAAGAAUGAGGGAACAUAAGGAAGAAUGAGAGAAAGAGAAUAAAAAGGAAGAAAUAAGGAAUAAAUGUAACAUAUGACUGAAUGGGGCUGGUGAAUGGAGAUCUCCACGAAUGAAGGGCUGUCAUUAAUUUAGAAUGGUGCCACCGAAGCCUGUGAAUAAAGGCAUCAAAUCUGAAUGAAUGAAUGAAUGGCGGAAGAAAUGGAUGAGCGACUGGAAGGAAGAGGGAGGGGAAGGAAGGGAGGAAGGAGAAAUAGAAGGGAGAGGGUGGAGGAACUUUCCUGUUUGGGGUCUCUGGGUUCCAGCCAGCUGAAUGAAGUGGGUACCAGGGCGGGGUGGCUCUUCGCAUGUUGUGUGCUUGUUUCAUGCACUUUCCCAGCGGGGAGGAGCUGCCUCAGGAAGACCCUUGCCUUGGAGCGCCACUGUCACCUCCUGGCUGUGGGGGCCAUUUCACAUCAUUACUCUCAUUAUCAAUCUCCCCAUCCGUAAACUUGGAAUGGCAUCGGCUCCCCGCUUGGACUGAUCAUGGGGGCAAAUGCUGUCCUAACGGUUGGCAGUGCCCUGUCCAUAGCCCUGGGGAGGAGGGAGGGCUCAGGCCCUGGGCCCUGAGGAAGGUUGCACGAACAAGAGAUGUUGGGCCAGUUGGGUGUCUGGGCCCUUCCAUGGGCGUGGGUCACCUGCGAGGGAGGCUCUUCCCGCCAGGGGGCAGCAGAGGGUAAGGGAGCAGGAGGCCCUGGGUGGUGCGUGGGCCCCGCCCCGCUGCGCCGUCCAGGGGGCGGGGCCACUCACUCCCAGGGGCUGCGCAGGGGAAGGGCAGGCAGGGCCACAUCACCAGAAAAGAAACCUUGUUCCUGCAACUUUCUGAAACUGCCCGGGAGCCUUGCAGCUGGGUCUUCUAUGGCGUGGGCUGCCUUCCCUACUCAACUCAGGGGGCCCGGGGCAGGUGCAUCUCAGCCUGGGUUGGGUUUGCAGAAGUGGUCCCGGGCUCCCGGCCCCCCUGCCCUGGCAUCCCCAGAGCCCGUUUCAAGGCCUCGCUGUCUUCUCGGCUGUUUCCAAUGUACUCUGUAUCUCUGCGGAAAGCGCGUCGGCACUGUGUGUUGUUGAACUUGUGCCCUCUCCCCGUGACCUGCUCUCUCGGGGGCUGUUUGUACUGGCGUUUCCGACCCCAGGGACCCCCUGGUUCUGUGCAGUCUCCUUUCUCUGUAUUGGACAGGAUUUGUGCACUUGUGUGUUGUGUGCCUGUGUUUGUCUACAAAAAUGAGGACCGAAGUCCCUCUCAAACUUCUCAAUUCCUGUUUGGGACAUUAAAAGAAAAAAAAAAAUUGAAUUCCUAGCAAGUGCCCUGAGCAGGAGGAGCCAGCUUGGCUGGACCCAGGACUCGUGGCUGGGAGCACGGAGGCCUCGGGGAGUCGGGUGCAGGUGGGGCUAAUGUUUCGCCUGGUGGGCGGGGAGUAGGGAGUUCAUUGCAGGGGAGUUACACUAGGAGUGACUUUGGGUCCCUGGUGGGAACAGGGCGUGGCUGGCCACAGGCUCGAGGCGGGGCUGCAGCUCUGGUCCAGGCGCGCUCUGAGGGCAGGGACGCCGGGGCGCAGGGAUCCAAGCUAUAGGGUUUGCAGACAGGAGGUGCAGAGGGAGUGGGGGAUGGGGGACCAGGGGCAGCUUCCACGCUUUGAGCGCGGGCCCUGAAUGGGUGAAAACGGCAUUUAGAAGAUGGAGGACGUGGAAUUCAUGUGUCAGGAGCCACCCUUCCCGGCCUCCAGCGCCACGUGUCUGGGCCACGUGAGCAGCGCCUUGUGGGCCUCAUGUGGCGCUGGGGCUUCAGGGCUCUGCUCUCUUCCUCUUUUGGAAUCUGGGAACUCCAGGCUCUGCCUCGGCCAGCCUGAAGCCUAGGGACACACUGAUUACCCCUGGGGACAGCUGCUCAGAUGAGGUCCCCAAAGAGCCCCCCAAGCAGCCCAGGAGUCAUCGUGUGGACCAGGGUGGAGACAGGAGGGGCUUGGGACACGAAGAAACUGGGAGGGUCUUUUUGAAGAACCCUUGUGUGCGCUUGUUUUAAAAGUCAGUUGAGGGUCAAGAAGACUUAGGAAAGAUUGGGUGUCAGAUGGGGAAGGGAGGGUCCCAGCCAUGUGCACAGAGGAAGUACGGAGGAACAGGGGCAAACCUUUGGAGGAGCCUCCUCUCCAAGUCCAUGAGGCUGUCAGAGGGUCCCCAUGGGUGGAAUGGGCCAGUGGGCUGGGAUCAGAUGAGUUCUGUCUUUUUAGGCAUGCGGAGGGCAGGAGGGCAUUGGGUCAGGGGUCUAAGAGCUUGGGAUCUGGUAUUCUGAGGGCCUCUAGUUCUGGGAUGCUGAGUUUCAGGACAGGCUGCAGAAGCCAGGGGUUGACUUUCCACACCCUCCCCUGUCCUGGUUCUGUCUGUGCUCGACCCACGAGGUCCAAGAUGGGGUCUCAGUGCUCCUCUCUGACCAGGGCCUAUCUCAAGUGUGUGUUUCUUCUUUUAUUUUUUUCUUUUCUUAAAAAAGGGCAGAUUUUGUCUGUUGGUGUUGACCUCCGCAUGCACCCCUUGCACAAAUCCUGCCCCUGGCGACUCUGAGCUACACGUCUCCCUGGGUUCUGUGCGACUCUCUCCUCCCUCUUCAGGAAGCUUGGCUUCGGGCCGGCCUUCCAGAGAGCAGAGGAUGGAGGCUGAGCCUCUGGGGCAGGUGGGCCAAGGGCCACCUUGUGAUCGUAAUGUAAAUGGUGUGGAUGGUUCAUGACCUAGAGCAGGAGGUCACCCAUCAUCCUCACACGUCACUCAUCUUUUUUUUUCUCCCCUUCAGAUGCUUGUUUAUGGGCACAUGUUUUUAAAAUGGACAUCUAAUUUUUUUUUAAAGAGCAUCCAUUUUUUUCAAACCUAAUUGCCAUUCUUCACCACAUACCCUUUUUUUUUACAUCCGGCCUUUUCCAUUUAAUAUUCUGUCGUCAACAUUUUUCUUUCUUCCGUAGACUUUAUCACCUUGCUGGCUGCCUGGUGUCUCGUUGAGCCGCCCUGUCAAUCAUUCACAACAUCAACCUGCUAUUGUUACUAUUGCUAUGCAUAAUUCAUCUUUUUUUUUAAUGUUACAAAUUAUGCCACAGCUAAUGGCUUAGCACACCCACUUUUUUUUUUAUUCUUGUGAAUUAUUUUCCCACCCCUAGAAAUGAUCAUUGCUUCAUGGUAUAUCAGUUUCUCCUGCUAGGCUGUGAGCCCCUUAAGGGCAAGAAGCUUGUUGAAUUGAUCUUUGUACCUCUAAUGCCUGACAUGUUGUAGAUGCUAAAUGUUACAGGAGUGGAUGGAAGGGUGAAUGAAGAUGUGAAUGAGUGAGUGGCUGAUUGAUUGGAAGAGGAUGGGAGGAUGGAUGAAGAUGAGAGUGGGUGGGUGAAUGGGUCAAUGGUUGGUUGGCUGUUGGAGGAGAGGAUGGGAUGGUGGUUGAAGAUGAGAGUGGGUGAUCAGUGGUUGAUUGGCUAAUGAAGGAGAGGAUGGGAGGAUGAAAAUGAGAGUGAGUGGGUCGGUGGUUGAUUGGCUGAUGGAGGAGAGGAUGGGAGGAUGGAUGAAGAUGAGAGUAGGUGGUCAGUGGUUGAUUGGCUGAUGGAGGAGAGGAUGGGAGGAUGAGUGAAUAAAUAGAUUGGUGAAUGAACACAUGAAUUUCCUAAGGUUGAGUUUCUUGAAUGAAAGGCCAGGCAUUUUGUAUGAAUAUUGACUAAUGUCAGAAGGCUAACAGCAUUUUACAAGGUCUGGCAAUAUACUAGCAUUUUGUUAAGGUAUUGCUAGUUUAUCUCUGUUAAGAAGUGUUUUUCUGUCAUUUUUACUUGCAUUGCUUUGAUUACUAAUGAAGGGUGAACAUUUUCAUAUGUAUUUGUUUAAAAAAUUGCACUUCAUCUUCUGUGAACUGUUUGUCCAAGUCCACUGGUCAUGGCUUUGUGAUGACACUGGGCAAGGAUGGGAUGAGUGCCCUUGGGAUGUAGUGAGCCCUUCAUCACUGGAGGCAUUCAAGGGGCAGUCCAGGCAGAUACUCGAUGAAGGUAGUUUUAAGGAGACUCAAAUAGUGGGGGUGAGGUUGGCCUAGAUGGCCCUUCAUGUCUGUUUGACUUUGAGAUUUGCUUCUUCCUGGGAAAUGGGUGGUGGGAUGACCUCUUGCAUUGGGCAGCCCAGCCACAGGGAAGGCCACAUCAUCUCCUGGGUAGGCCUGUGCAUUUAGGAUUUAUAAUUUCUAACCUCGCCUCUGUAACUCGUGGGGCAGGAAUAGCUCUUUGAUCCUCCCAGGUCCAGACAACUUUGCCAGCAUCUUGUACAGUUAGCUGGGGGACUUCCCACCUGUCCCGCCCACUCCCCUAUUUCACCGAGAGGAAGACAGGCCCCCAGACCACCAUCUCCCACCCUUCAGGGGGUCAGCUGAGGCCAUCUGUUACCCUUCCCCUCCCAGUGUCCUGUGAUGGGUGAGCAGAUGUGCCCUGGGUCUCCACGGUGGUCUUUGGGGUGUAACUGAUUAAUGGGACAUGCUGGGGCAGGGCUGAUAGUGAAUCCUCCUUUGUUUUUACUUCAACUGAGACAGUUCAGUUCCGUAAUCCAAGGAGCAGGAUGGACCCCAGGUUCUCCUUGGGUUUCCUCUCAUGGUCCACCCCAAUGCUGGUCAGAGCUCAAAGGUCAUCAUGUCAUCUGGGAGGGCACGUUACCCAAAGAGGCCUCGCCCCCGCUCUCCAGAAUGCCCUCUGCUCUCAGCCGUGGGCUGCGUCUCCCCCGACCCUCUACUAUAGCACCGAGCGCUGUUUGUGUGCAUCAGACUUCCCCACACGUUUCCCGCGGCAUCGGAGCUUGGGAGGCCAGCGACGAUUCCCCACGUUAAUCUGGUCCCUGAAUCCGAUCCGUCCAUCCAUCCAUGCAUUCGGCCUACAUUUCUUGACCUGGUGCUUUGGCCUUUCCCUUUCCUGAAAGCAAACCUUCUCCUUUCAGGCGGGCUGUGUAGCGCCAUGGGCUGUGGUUAUGACGUGAACGCCCUUAUUUUGUGGCUUCUUCCUCCGGGGUCACUGCUCUGAGCACAUCCCAGCUGGAUCUCAUCCGCCACCGUCACCCACACGGCUUCCCUCCCACGGCGCUCUCCCCUGCAUCUCACAUCGCGACAGAUCCAGGGCCGGGGUCCGAGAGCGGUACCCUCCCACUCCACCCCACCCCACCUGGCCCGUGAGUGGAGAUGUCCCCCCCAGGCCACCCUGCCCGGUGCAUGGUCCCUGCCAUGAGCUUUGGCCUCAGCCCUUCAGCUUCCUCCACCAGAUGGCAGUGGUUGAAACUCAUCCCUUCAUUCUCUCAUUCCUUCAUUCAUUCAGUCACGGUCAGCAAACAUUUUAAAAAAUCGGCUGGUGCUAUACUGGAGUGGGCUCACGAGGAUGCGCUCCCACAUCUGAGCGUGUUUGUGUGUCGGUGAUGAGGCGGGACCCUUGAUGCAGCUCUGCCUCCUGGAUCUGAGCUCUGUGGCGUCUGAUCGCCUGUCUCCAACUUUGUUCCUCGUAGAACUUGGUUGAUCAGUAAUCAGACAGCUGUGUUCCUGGGUGUUCAGAAAUCAUAGUCCGUAGCCUCAAGUGGCAGGAGGAGAGCUGGAGGGUCCGAGAUGAGCGGCUGAUUCUGGCUGCGAGCCGGCUUUCAAGUCAUUAGAACACCUUGAUCUUGUACAAAGCGGAUCUUAGAGUCAUUCCUGUCCCUUUGAGAUUUCGUUAAUUCUGGGCUCUAUUUAGAGAAAAUGGGGGAGGUGAUUGCUCAUUUGGAGGGCAAGGAUCAUGACCCCUGUGGGGUCUGCACAGAACAGUCCACUGGUGCAAGAGGGCAUCCGAGGCGUAGCACGCUUGGUAAACCCUGGAAGCAGCCCCCAGCAUCCACGCAGGUCCCAGGCCAGGUGGGACCCGCUCUUGGCUCACUGCUACCUGCUUGGGACGAGGUGUGGGUCUUGGGGGCUCUACUUAGAAUUCUGUAUUUUGUUUGUUGCACCGGGAAGUGGGCGUAGUGGACAAAGCCAGGACCCUGGAGCUGGACAAACGUGUGUGGUUUACGAUGACAGCUUGAGCCUGUCUUCUGGGCGGAACCACGGCACCCACCUCGCAGGGCUGUUGUGAGGACCAAUGUAACCAGCAUUUUGAACUGUGAUUCUGAAAGGGCGUGCGCUUGCCCCCGGGGGUGUGCUGGGUUGGGAUGAAAGGCCAGGAGGGGUAGCCUGAUUUGGGCAGAUUGGUGGGAAAUCACUUUGCCAAACACGCAGGGGGCUGUUGUGGGAUAGGAUGCUGUGUUUGUAUGGCAUUCUCAGGUUCGAUGGGAGUCCUUUGGACAGGAACCUUCGUGUGAGGGGAAUGGUGACCCCUCUGGGCAACGCCCCGGCCCCCUGGGGUGCGCGUUCAGACUCGCCCCCGCAGGCGGCGGGGAGGCCCCGGCUGUGCCCUUCCUACCACUGUGUCUGGCCUGUGGGCAGCGCCUGCUCUAGGAGAGACCCUCCCAGCAGUGUCCUCCCCCCAACAUUAGGCCCCAGCUGCCAAAGACACCACACGGCCUCUCCCUCAGGUCCCCUCUCCCAGGUAACAACAUUUGGGCACAAAUGCCAGCAGCCAGGGUGCCUAACACAGCCCCAGGCCAGUGGUAGGGGUCGCCUUCCACUUCUGUUGAAUGGGUGGAUGGGUGGCGGUCAAAUAACAAAACUGUAAUCAAAUGCAAGCGGCGGUUGCUUAUAACUUUACUAAGGGAUUGUAUUUCUGCUCCCAAUUAACCUGUUAACAAUCGGUGUGCUCUGUCUUACGGA